rnacentral:rRNA from 1 species
UGAGGAAUAUUGGUCAAUGGGCGAGAGCCUGAACCAGCCAAGUAGCGUGAAGGAUGACUGCCCUAUGGGUUGUAAACUUCUUUUAUAAAGGAAUAAAGUCGGGUAUGCAUACCCGUUUGCAUGUACUUUAUGAAUAAGG